CGCACAUUGCGCCCGCCAGCAUUCUGGCGGGCAUGCCUAUUCGAGCGUCAUUUCAACCCUCAAGUCCCUGUGACUUGGUGUUGGGGCUCUUCUAUAGUGGUUACUGUAGGCUCCGAAAUCUAGUGGCGGGCCCAAUGGGACCCCGAGCGCAGUAAUAUUUUUUCCUCGCUUAGGGUGUCGCAGCGGGCGACUAGCCGUAAAAACUACCUAACGGGUGCAAGCUCGUGAUGGUAAUCUUUAAGGUUGACCUCGGAUUAGGUAGGAAUACCCGCUGAACUUAA
rnacentral:misc_RNA from 1 species